rnacentral:rRNA from 1 species
UAGGGAAUCUUCGNCAAUGGACGGAAGUCUGACCGAGCAACGCCGCGUGAGUGAAGAAGGUUUUCGGAUCGUAAAGCUCUGUUGUAAGAGAAGAACGAGUGUGAGAGUGGAAAGUUCACACUGUGACGGUAUCUUACCAGAAAGGGACGGCUAACUACGUGCCAGCAGCCGCGGUAAUACGUAGGUCCCGAGCGUUGUCCGGAUUUAUUGGGCGUAAAGCGAGCGCAGGCGGUUAGAUAAGUCUGAAGUUAAAGGCUGUGGCUUAACCAUAGUAGGCUUUGGAAACUGUUUAACUUGAGUGCAAGAGGGGAGAGUGGAAUUCCAUGUGUAGCGGUGAAAUGCGUAGAUAUAUGGAGGAACACCGGUGGCGAAAGCGGCUCUCUGGCUUGUAACUGACGCUGAGGCUCGAAAGCGUGGGGAGCAAACAGGAUUAGAUACCCUGGUAGUCCACGCUGUAAACGAUGAGUGCUAGGUGUUAGACCCUUUCCGGGGUUUAGUGCCGUAGCUAACGCAUUAAGCACUCCGCCUGGGGAGUACGACCGCAAGGUU